CCAGACUCCUACGGGAGGCAGCAGUGGGGAAUAUUGGACAAUGGACCAAGAGUCUGAUCCAGCAAUUCUGUGUGCACGAUGACGUUUUUCGGAAUGUAAAGUGCUUUCAGUUGGGAAGAAAAAAAUGACGGUACCAACAGAAGAAGUGACGGCUAAAUACGUGCCAGCAGCCGCGGUAAUACGUAUGUCACAAGCGUUAUCCGGAUUUAUUGGGCGUAAAGCGCGUCUAGGUGGUUAUGUAAGUCUGAUGUGAAAAUGCAGGGCUCAACUCUGUAUUGCGUUGGAAACUGUGUAACUAGAGUACUGGAGAGGUAAGCGGAACUACAAGUGUAGAGGUGAAAUUCGUAGAUAUUUGUAGGAAUGCCGAUGGGGAAGCCAGCUUACUGGACAGAUACUGACGCUGAAGCGCGAAAGCGUGGGUAGCAAACAGGAUUAGAUACCCUGGUAGUCCACGCCGUAAACGAUGAUUACUAGGUGUUGGGGGUCGAACCUCAGCGCCCAAGCAAACGCGAUAAGUAAUCCGCCUGGGGAGUACGUACGCAAGUAUGAAACUCAAAGGAAUUGACGGGGGCCCGCACAAG
rnacentral:rRNA from 1 species